GACGUAGGGCGCGAGCGUUGUCCGGAUUUAUUGGGCGUAAAGAGCUCGUAGGCGGCUUGUUGCGUCAGCUGUGAAAACCCGCAGCUCAACUGUGGGCUUGCAGCUGAUACGGGCAGGCUUGUGUUCGGUAGGGGAGACUGGAAUUCCUGGUGUAGCGGUGAAAUGCGCAGAUAUCAGGAGGAACACCGGUGGCGAAGGCGGGUCUCUGGGCCGAUACUGACGCUGAGGAGCGAAAGCGUGGGGAGCGAACAGG
rnacentral:rRNA from 1 species